AGGACGAACGCUGGCGGCGUGCAUGAGACAUGCAAGUCAAACGGACGAUCAGGGCUUGCUCUGGUCGUUAGUGGCGGACGGCUGAGUAACGCGUGGGUGACCUGCCCCGAAGUGGGGAAUAACUGCCCGAAAGGGUGGCUAAUACCGCAUGUGGUGGUGCGUUCAUUCGCACCAGUAAAGCCGCAAGGCGCUUCGGGAGGGGCCUGCGUCCGAUUAGCUCGUUGGUGGGGUAACGGCUCACCAAGGCGACGAUCAGUAGCUGGUCUGAGAGGAUGAUCAGCCACAUUGGGACUGAGACACGGCCCAAACUCCUACGGGAGGCAGCAGUGGGGGAAUAUUGGACAAUGGGCGCAAGCCUGAUCCAGCCAUGCCGCGUGAGUGAUGAAGGCCCUAGGGUUGUAAAGCUCUUUUGUGCGGGAAGAUAAUGACGGUACCGCAAGAAUAAGCCCGGCUAACUUCGUGCCAGCAGCCGC
rnacentral:rRNA from 1 species